rnacentral:rRNA from 1 species
AAAUUGAAGAGUUUGAUCAUGGCUCAGAUUGAACGCUGGCGGCAGGCCUAACACAUGCAAGUCGAACGGUAGCACAGAGAGCUUGCUCUCGGGUGACGAGUGGCGGACGGGUGAGUAAUGUCUGGGAAACUGCCUGAUGGAGGGGGAUAACUACUGGAAACGGUGGCUAAUACCGCAUAACGUCGCAAGACCAAAGAGGGGGACCUUCGGGCCUCUUGCCAUCAGAUGUGCCCAGAUGGGAUUAGCUAGUUGGUGAGGUAACGGCUCACCAAGGCGACGAUCCCUAGCUGGUCUGAGAGGAUGACCAGCCACACUGGAACUGAGACACGGUCCAGACUCCUACGGGAGGCAGCAGUGGGGAAUAUUGCACAAUGGGCGCAAGCCUGAUGCAGCCAUGCCGCGUGU